rnacentral:misc_RNA from 1 species
UUACCGAGUUAGGGUCGCCCCCGCGCGCCCGACCUCCAACCCUUUGUCUACCCGACCUUAUUGUUGCUUCGGCAGGCCCGCCGCCCCUCGUGGGUGGCCGCCGGGGGCUUAACCGCCCCGGGCCCGCGCCUGUCGAUGGCCCACCCACAAACUCUUGUACUUAAACGUGUCGUCUGAGUUAACAAACAAAAUAAAACAAAACUUUCAACAACGGAUCUCUUGGUUCUGGCAUCGAUGAAGAACGCAGCGAAAUGCGAUAAGUAAUGCGAAUUGCAGAAUCCGUGAGUCAUCGAAUCUUUGAACGCACAUUGCGCCCUCUGGUAUUCCGGAGGGCAUGCCUGUUCGAGCGUCAUUAUCACCCCUCAAGCCCGGCUUGUUGUUGGACGCGGCGGCGCCUUUUGCGCCCCGCCCGUCUCAAAGAUAAUGACGGCGUCUGCGAGGACCCCUGUACACUGAGCUUUCGGGCACGUACUAGGUGUGGAAUCCAGACCCGGUCACCGUCCCUUCUAGGGACAAAACUUUUAACCAGGUUGACCUCGGAUCAGGUAGGAAUACCCGCUGAACUUAAGCAUAUCAAUAAGCGGAGGAAAAGAAACCAACAGGGAUUGCCUUAGUAACGGCGAGUGAAGCGGCAACAGCUCAAAUUUGAAAUCUGGCUCCUUCGGGGCCCGAGUUGUAAUUUGGAGAGGAUGUUUCGGGCACGGUCCGGGCUUAAAUUUCUUGGAACAGAAUGUCACGGAGGGUGAGAAUCCCGUCUGGAGCUCGGACACGACCCAUGUGAAACUCCUUCGACGAGUCGAGUUGUUUGGGAAUGCAGCUCUAAAUGGGUGGUAAAUUUCAUCUAAAGCUAAAUAUUGGCCAGAGACCGAUAGCGCACAAGUAGAGUGAUCGAAAGAUGAAAAGCACUUUGAAAAGAGAGUUAAACAGUACGUGAAAUUGUUGAAAGGGAAGCGCUGGCAACCAGACUUGCGCGUCGGGGUUCCCCCUUGCUUCUGCCUGGGUUACUCCCCGGCGUUCAGGCCAACAUCGGUUUCGGGGGUCGGUUAAAGGCCUUGGGAAUGUACCUACCCUCCGGGGUAGACUUAUAGCCCAGGGUGUCAUGCGGCCUCCCGGGACCGA